ACCACUAAGUUUAUUAUAUGUUGCCCGUACCGUAAACCGACACAGGUGGGUGGGAUGAGUAUUCUAAGGCGCGUGGAAGAACCCUCUUUAAGGAGCUCUGCAAAAUAGCACCGUAUCUUCGGUAUAAGGUGUGCCUACUUUGGUAUAUGGACUUGCUCCAAAAAGCUAGAGAGGUUGCAACAAAGAGUCCCUCCCGACUGUUUACCAAAAACACAGCACUUUGCUAACACGUAAGUGGAUGUAUAAGGUGUGACGCCUGCCCGGUGCUCGAAGGUUAACUGAUGAUGUCAGCGCAAGCGAAGCAUUUGAUUGAAGCCCGAGUAAACGGCGGCCGUAACAAUAACGGUCCUAAGGUAGCGAAAUUCCUUGUCAGUUAAAUACUGACCUGCAUGAAUGGCGUAACGAGAUGGGAGCUGUCUCAAAGAGGGAUCCAGUGAAAUUGUAGUGGAGGUGAAGAUUCCUCCUACCCGCGGAAAGACGGAAAGACCCCGUGCACCUUUACUACAGCUUGACACUGUAGCUUGGAUAUUCAUGUGCAGGAUAGGUGGGAGGCUAUGAUGACUAGACGCAAGUAGAGUCGGAGCCAUCCUUGAGAUACCACCCUUGAAUAUUUGAGUUACUAACUGCGAUGAGUUAUCCUCAUUCAGGACAAUGUCUGGUGGGUAGUUUGACUGGGGCGGUCGCCUCCUAAAUAGUAACGGAGGCUUACAAAGGUUAGUUCAAAGCGGUUGGAAAUCGCUUGUUGAGUAUAAUGGCAUAAACUAGCUUGACUGUGAGACCUACAAGUCGAACAGAGACGAAAGUCGGUCAUAGUGAUCCGGUGGUUCUGUGUGGAAGGGCCAUCGCUCAAAGGAUAAAAGGUACGCCGGGGAUAACAGGCUGAUCUCCCCCAAGAGCUCACAUCGACGGGGAGGUUUGGCACCUCGAUGUCGGCUCAUCGCAUCCUGGGGCUGUAGUCGGUCCCAAGGGUAUGGCUGUUCGCCAUUUAAAGCGGUACGCGAGCUGGGUUCAGAACGUCGUGAGACAGUUCGGUCCCUAUCUUCCGUGGGCGUAGGAAAGUUGAAGAGAUUUGUCCCUAGUACGAGAGGACCGGGAUGAACCAACCACUGGUGUACCAAUUGUUCUGCCAAGAGCAUCGUUGGGUAGCCACGUUGGGAUGUGAUAAGAGCUGAAAGCAUCUAAGCUCGAAGCCAACUCUAAGAUGAACUUUCCCUGAAGUUCCCAGCAAGACUAGCUGGUUGAUAGGCUGGAUGUGUAAUGGGUGUAAGCCCUUUAGCUGACCAGUACUAAUAGAACGUUUGGCC
rnacentral:rRNA from 1 species